UAGACAGCGGUGGGAUCGGCGGCGGGAUCUGCGGCAGUGAGGAGGCAGCGGCAGAGCAGCGAUGGAGGCAGCAGUGAAGAUCAGUGUUUUUGGAUAUCUGCCACUGCAGUUUUAGAGCCAAAGUCAGAAGUGGAUCCAUAAGGGAGGAGAAGUCAGUGUGAUGUAACAGGCCCAGGCACCAGAAAGAUCUCACUGCUGCUCAGCAUAUCACCGACCAGCGACUAGCUUAGCGCACGUGACGUGAAAUGUCUGCACAAAAAGUUGGAAGAAGAUCAUGGCCAAAGUACAGAAAAAACUACGGACUCCAGCCGCAGCAGAUGAGUGGCAAAAGUUCAAUUAAACGUUAUGAUUUUUAUUUCAGCAGCCCGGCAUAGAGGAUAAAUAAAG